UUUGGUGGUUUAUGGGAGGCAGGGAUAAAAUCAUAUAUUCGCACAUCAACGGGCAUCGUUCAACGAGCUUUCUCAAAAAUCUGCCCGCUGCCGUUGCAGCCGAUAGACGAGGGCGCAACCAAAGAGGCCACAUCAUUCUGAGACCCUUUUUCUUUGGAAGUAGGUACUUCCAAGGCGGGGGCCAUGUUCAAGCGACAUCUAGUGGGUAGGGGCGCUUCUAAUGUGAAGUUGCCGCUUAUCAGCCAAUGAGAGGACGACGGGCGGGGGGACCUCGCCUAACUUCAUACGACUUUUUUUCUUCGUUCAAAAUAUUUAAAUUGUAACGUUCAUCAUUUCUUCAUUCAUUAUUCGUUGUUAUUUGGUCAGACAAUACACGUAAUCUUUAUUAUA